rnacentral:rRNA from 1 species
UACGAAGGGGGCUAGCGUUGCUCGGAAUUACUGGGCGUAAAGCGCGCGUAGGCGGGUCGUUAAGUCGGGGGUGAAAUCCUGGAGCUCAACUCCAGAACUGCCUUCGAUACUGGCGAUCUUGAGUCCGGGAGAGGUGAGUGGAACUCCGAGUGUAGAGGUGAAAUUCGUAGAUAUUCGGAAGAACACCAGUGGCGAAGGCGGCUCACUGCCCGGUACUGACGCUGAGGUGCGAAAGCGUGGGGA